rnacentral:lncRNA from 1 species
UUUAAAGGAAAUAUUUUGAGGGUUAUUGGUGAAAUCCUUAAAAAGCUCAGAUGAAAAGCCCUUAUAUAACUUCACCCUGGAUAAGAUUUAACGUAGAACUGACAUGGAAGCCCAUGCCUAUAAUCAGCUUCUUAGGAGGCUGAGGAAGAGGAUUGUAAGUUCAAGUGCAACCUGGGCAACUUAGCAAUACCCUGUCUCCAAAAGAGGUAAGAACGGAGCCCAGUUAUUUUUAUAGCAUGAAAAGAUUGGAGUUUGUUGGAGAGAGUGUAAUGGUUUGUGUUUAAAUGUCCUCCUAAACGCUCCUGUAGAUGAGGUGGGACUUUCUUUUUCAGAGGUAGUUGAAUCUCGAAUGUGUUAUGCUGGGGUUAAGGGCGCGUGAUUACUAAACCACUACAUGUGAGUGAUUAGUUUGGCACCGCCCUAAUCCCCGGUAGUCUGAAUAAGAUAAAAAGAUGCUGUUAAACUUCCCUUGUUCCUUUUGCUACCUUGUACGCGCCAUGUUGUUUCUGCUCUGCGAGGCCUGUUUGUCAUCCCUGUCGUGGAGCCAGCCAACUGUGGACUGAAACCUCUACAAACUGCAGGUGGCAGAACCAUUGAGCUAAAUCCCUGGCCCUCAGAUGGAAUUUUUGUUUCCCAAGACCUGAACGAAGUUUAACAUAUAUACUGUGGAUCAAAACCCAGCAAUGCUUUACCACUGAACUACUUCCUCCAUUCUAAGGCUUCUCUAAAUCGACAAAUGACAAGACUGGCCUUGAACUCAUGGAUCCCCCUGCCUCAGCCUCCUGAAUUCUGGGAUUACAGGCACGCACCAUCACACUAGUAACAGAGCCCCAGAUUUUUAGCUGGUCCUGUCAGCUGUCUGAAAUUUCUACUGCCUUUCUCAUUCUCUCUGGUGAUUCAAGUUGAUUUGCACUCCAUUCCACGACCUGAAGUUACUCUAGAUCUUGAGAAACUUAACUGGUCUCUAGAAGAUUUCAGAUGCAAACUCUGACUCAGACCAACUCAUAAAAUAUAGAAAUAUUUCUUCAAAGUGAAUCAGAUGCCUGAAAAUAAUAAUUUUUAUUUAAGUAUUUUGGAAGUGAAGGAGUGGGAAUGUUCUAAACCUG